CAAAGCCCCCUGAGGCUUCCCCAGAAGCAGAUGCUGGAGCUAUGUUUCCUGUACAGCCUGCAGAACUGUGAGCCAGCUGAACCUCUUUUCUUAUAAAUUACCAGUUGCAGGUGUUUUUUCGUAACAAUGCAAGAACACUCUAAUACAAUGGGUCAUGGGGUAGGUUUUUAGCUUUUGAAGAAACUCGGACUUUUUUCCAAACUGAUUGUACCAUUUUACACUCCUACCAACAUGCAUGCCUGAGAUUCGAGUUGCCCCAAUUCCUCAACGUCAUUUGGUAUUGUCGGUCUUCAAUUUUUGUCAUCUGGCAGAUGGAGUUAUUGCCAUGGUGUUAGGACAAGCUGAUUGUGUUAAAGCAUGUGACACACCUAAUUUCAGAAACCAGAGGGGAAAUCGCCGCUCAUUAAAGUUCAAGCUUGCAUCCCUUUGGUCUCCUCCAACUAGAGCCAUGAUAUGAUGGUCCUGCCCAGGUCAUGUAAGUGAGAGUCUGCCAGGUGGGGUCCUGGAAACCUUUUUCUCUCUUGAUAAAGAGAGACUCCACUGAUGUCCUUUCAUGUUUUGCCCAUCCUUCUUUAUGCAUGGAAGCCUGGACGCGAAUCAGCCUUCAAGUCUCUAAGGUCACAGCUGUGAUGGACAUGGAACAAGGUGCUAUGGGUUGAGGGACAGAUGCAGAGAGAGCACAGGACCCCAGAGGCAUCAUUUUCACCAGCUCUUGGCUACCUGCCUCCUGACUUCUUGGUAUAUGAGAAAAACAAACUCUCAUUGUUCAAGUUAUUACUUUCUCCUUGCCGUAUUUUUCUCAUCCAAAUACAAAACUACCUGAGGCUAUUAUAGACUUGUAAUUUCUCCCACCCAUGGAAAAAUGUGAUGAUUGUUAAAUCUUUAGAAAUAAUGAAUAAUGGUAAAAAGAAGUCAUCCAAGUUUUAGCAUCCAUUAUGACAAAAAAAUCAGAAUAUGUGUUGCUGUUCUAAGAAAUUUAGUAUUAAGAGAGCCAUAUGUUU
rnacentral:lncRNA from 10 species